rnacentral:lncRNA from 1 species
CUCCAGUGUGAACAGGCCAGACAUGCCGCACAGGGACAUAGAAAUGCAGAUAUACAGCUCCAAUGCAGCUAGACAGACAAAAUGCUGAACUGCAUGAAUAUCGAACAUCGAAAGUGCUAUUUCCUUUUAAGUGGUCCCCUGUCAGUUCAACUGAGACCUGUGGAUAAAUGCAGAACCUCGGCUGAAAACCAAGCUGAUAUUCUGGAGACCGACUGCAAUCCUGCUCACCAGAAAGCACCAUCUGGGUGGACGGGAACACCAUGUGACUACUCCCAAUCUGACAGGAAAAACUCAUGUUUGUCAAGACCGUCUCAUUUCUUUACCUCCUGGUUGGAUUUGGACUCUUCGCCUGGCUGCUUCACCUGGAUGUAUGAGUGCCCCCCCCACCCGCCUGUCCCCAGGUCGGUGUCUAUGUGUGUGUUGUUUUUUAGACCAGUAAUCCCCCAUCUGUCCCUAUAACAAUGAAACCAACGUUGUCUGAGCCGCUAUAACUUAGAACCUAGAGUCUCCAAUCGAAGUAGAACAUAACCAAUUCUCUGCAUUAGAGGGUCUAGGGCUGCAUUUCUAGUCUCUUCUCUUGGUGAUCCGGGCCAAGAGAUGCUUGUGAGCUGAGACUGAUUCAUUGGCUAGCUGCUUCUCUUCUCCGAUCAUGCUCACUCUGUCUUUUUCUCUUUCUCUCUCACACACACACACACACACACACAGAAACACACCCUGGCAUAGUAACCGGCUGUCUCUCCCCGGGCUUCCCUAGCGUGCUGCUGAGCCUUGGUCUACUACCCGAAAUUCGCCUAGACGUGUGUGUCUAUAUGCACAGGCGAGUGAACACACCCGCCUGCCAAGCAUGCCACGCCCAGGCCAGACAGACGGACGGGCUCCCGCCCAAUCACAACUGGAUCAGCCUUAAACAUGUGUAUGGCAAUGUCUGGUGGAACCAAAUUGGUCCCCUUAAGGGAUAGGCCAGAGAGGGCUGUGAUUGGAUAGAGGGUAGCGUGCAGGAUUCGCUAGGCUGUCUGGCGUGGCCUCCCUGAGAGCUGCC